GCACUGAUGGCCGAGUGGCUAACGCUUUUGCCUUCGACUCCAAGGGUCCCCGGUUCGACUCCCCGCUAGACA